UACGAAGGGGGCUAGCGUUGUUUCGGAAUUACUGGGCGUAAAGCGCACGAGGCGGAUAUUUAAGUCAGGGUGAAAUCCCGGGGCUCAACCCCGGAACUUGCCUUUUGAUUACUGGGUAUCUCGAGUCCGGAAGAGGUGAGUGGAAUUCCGAGUGUAGAGGUGAAAUUCGUAGAUAUUCGGAGGAACACCAGUGGCGAAGGCGGCUCACUGGUCCGGUACUGACGCUGAGGUGCGAAAGCGUGGGGAGCGAUCCGG
rnacentral:rRNA from 1 species